UACGUAGGGGGCAAGCGUUGUCCGGAUUCAUUGGGCGUAAAGAGCGUGUAGGCGGCCUGGAAGGUCAGCUGUGAAAACUCGAGGCUCAACCUCGAGACGUCGGUUGAAACCACCUGGCUAGAGUCCGGAAGAGGAGUGUGGAAUUUCCGGUGGAGCGGUGAAAUGCGUAGAGAUCGGAAAGAACACCAACGGCGAAAGCACUCUGCUGGGCCGACACUGACACUGAGAGACGAAAGCUAGGGGAGCGAAUGGG
rnacentral:rRNA from 1 species